ACGCUGGCGGCAGGCUUAACACAUGCAAGUCGAACGGUAACAGGGAUUAGCUUGCUAAUCUGCUGACGAGUGGCGGACGGGUGAGUAAUGCUUGGGAAUCUGGCUUAUGGAGGGGGAUAACUACGGGAAACUGUAGCUAAUACCGCGUAAAAUCUUCGGAUUAAAGGGUGGGACUUUCGAGCCACCUGCCAUAAGAUGAGCCCAAGUGGGAUUAGGUAGUUGGUUAGGUAAAGGCUGACCAAGCCGACGAUCUCUAGCUGGUCUGAGAGGAUGACCAGCCACACUGGAACUGAGACACGGUCCAGACUCCUACGGGAGGCAGCAGUGGGGAAUAUUGCACAAUGGGGGGAACCCUGAUGCAGCCAUGCCGCGUGAAUGAAGAAGGCCUUCGGGUUGUAAAGUUCUUUCGGUGACGAGGAAGGUUGAUAGGUUAAUAGCCUAUCAAAUUGACGUUAAUCACAGAAGAAGCACCGGCUAACUCCGUGCCAGCAGCCGCGGUAAUACGGGGGGUGCGAGCGUUAAUCGGAAUAACUGGGCGUAAAGGGCACGCAGGCGGUGACUUAAGUGAGAUGUGAAAGCCCCGAGCUUAACUUGGGAAUUGCUUUUCAUACUGGGUCGCUAGAGUACUUUAGGGAGGGGUAGAAUUCCACGUGUAGCGGUGAAAUGCGUAGAGAUGUGGAGGAAUACCGAAGGCGAAGGCAGCCCCUUGGGAAUGUACUGACGCUCAUGUGCGAAAGCGUGGGGAGCAAACAGGAUUAGAUACCCUGGUAGUCCACGCUGUAAACGAUGUCGAUUUGGGGAUUGGGCUUUGAGCUUGGUGCCCGUAGCUAACGUGAUAAAUCGACCGCCUGGGGAGUACGGCCGCAAGGUUAAAACUCAAAUGAAUUGACGGGGGCCCGCACAAGCGG
rnacentral:rRNA from 1 species